rnacentral:rRNA from 1 species
UACGAAGGGGGCUAGCGUUGCUCGGAAUCACUGGGCGUAAAGGGUGCGUAGGCGGGUUUUUAAGUCAGAGGUGAAAUCCUGGAGCUCAACUCCAGAACUGCCUUUGAUACUGAAAGUCUCGAGUAUGGGAGAGGUGAGUGGAACUGCGAGUGUAGAGGUGAAAUUCGUAGAUAUUCGCAAGAACACCAGUGGCGAAGGCGGCUCACUGGCCCAUAACUGACGCUGAGGCACGAAAGCGUGGGGAGCAAACAGG